rnacentral:rRNA from 1 species
GACGAACGCUGGCGGCGUGCCUAACACAUGCAAGUCGAGCGAGUUGAUUCUCUUCGGAGAUGAAGCUAGCGGCGGACGGGUGAGUAACACGUGGGCAACCUACCUCAUAGAGGGGAAUAGCCUCCCGAAAGGGAGAUUAAUACCGCAUAAGAUUGUAGCUUCGCAUGAAGUAGCAAUUAAAGGAGCAAUCCGCUAUGAGAUGGGCCCGCGGCGCAUUAGCUAGUUGGUGAGGUAACGGCUCGCCAAGGCGACGAUGCGUAGCCGACCUGAGAGGGUGAUCGGCCACAUUGGGACUGAGACACGGCCCAGACUCCUACGGGAGGCAGCAGUGGGGAAUAUUGCACAAUGGGGGAAACCCUGAUGCAGCAACGCCGCGUGAGUGAUGACGGCCUUCGGGUUGUAAAGCUCUGUCUUCAGGGACGAUAAUGACGGUACCUGAGGAGGAAGCCACGGCUAACUACGUGCCAGCAGCCGCCGUAAUAC